UAUCCGCCAGGGUACUACGAGCACAGCUUAAAACCCAAAGGACUUGGCGGUGCCUCAGAUCCACCUAGAGGAGCCUGUUCUAGAACCGAUAACCCCCGUUAGACCUUACCAUCCCUUGUUUAUUCCGCCUAUAUACCGCCGUCGUCAGCUUACCCUGUGAAGGUUAAACAGUAAGCAAAAUGGGCAAACCCCAAAACGUCAGGUCGAGGUGUAGCGUACGAGAUGGGAAAGAAUGGGCUACAUUUUCUGAUACAGAAUACUACGAACGGCGCCUUGAAACAAGCGCCCGAAGGCGGAUUUAGCAGUAAAAAGCAAGCAGAG
rnacentral:rRNA from 1 species